GUAUUGGUAACGCGGAUGCUCGUCAGCCAGCUUUGGUGUAUGCUGCUCGUCGCCGCGAGGAGGGUGACGCACCUGAUGUCAUAACUGGUGAGCCCUAGUUGGUGGACUUGGAGCUGGGCGAGAUUCAGAGUGGCCAUGAAGAUGGAUUGCCAAUUUUAAAUAAGUUUAGCAUUUAAUUUGGAUUAUUUUAUUUUUAUUAUGUUUAAAGUUGUAAUAAGGCCGCUCUUUUUAAUUAUUUUUAUUUUGGGGAUUAUUAAA